rnacentral:rRNA from 1 species
AUUAGAGUUUGAUCCUGGCUCAGGAUGAACGCUGGCGGCGUGCCUAACACAUGCAAGUCGAGCGAUCUCUUCGGAGAGAGCGGCGGACGGGUGAGUAACGCGUGGGUAACCUGCCCUGUACACACGGAUAACAUACCGAAAGGUAUACUAAUACGGGAUAACAUACGAAAGUCGCAUGGCUUUUGUAUCAAAGCUCCGGCGGUACAGGAUGGACCCGCGUCUGAUUAGCUAGUUGGUAAGGUAAUGGCUUACCAAGGCAACGAUCAGUAGCCGACCUGAGAGGGUGAUCGGCCACACUGGAACUGAGACACGGUCCAGACUCCUACGGGAGGCAGCAGUGGGGAAUAUUGCACAAUGGGCGAAAGCCUGAUGCAGCAACGCCGCGUGAGCGAUGAAGGCCUUCGGGUCGUAAAGCUCUGUCCUCAAGGAAGAUAAUGACGGUACUUGAGGAGGAAGCCCCGGCUAACUACGUGCCAGCAGCCGCGGUAAUAAU